rnacentral:tRNA from 1 species
ACUUUUAAAGGAUAAUAGUAAUCCGCUGGUCUUAGGAACCAACAAUCUCAGUGCAACUCUAAGUAAAAGUU